rnacentral:tRNA from 1 species
UGCAUCGGCCGGGAAUCGAACCCGGAACGCCCGCGUGGCAGGCGCGCAUUCUACCACUGAACCACCGAUGU